rnacentral:rRNA from 1 species
AUUGAACGCUGGCGGCAGGCCUAACACAUGCAAGUCGAGCGGCAGCGGAAGGAAGCUUGCUUCCUUGCCGGCGAGCGGCGGACGGGUGAGUAAGGUAUGGGGAUCUGGCCGAAGGCGGGGGAUAACCACUGGAAACGGUGGCUAAUACCGCAUAAUCUCUAAGGAGCAAAGUGGGGGACCGGUCAGGCCUCACACCUUCGGAUGAAACCAUAGGAAAUUAGCUAGUAGGUGGGGUAAUGGCUCACCUAGGCGACGAUCUCUAGCUGGUCUGAGAGGAUGAUCAGCCACACUGGGACUGAGACACGGCCCAGACUCCUACGGGAGGCAGCAGUGGGGAAUAUUGCACAAUGGGCGCAAGCCUGAUGCAGCCAUGCCGCGUGUAUGAAGAAGGCCUUCGGGUUGUAAAGUACUUUCAGUCGUGAGGAAGGUGUUAAGGUUAAUAACCUUAGCAAUUGACGUUAGCGACAGAAGAAGCUCCGGCUAACUCCGUGCCAGCCGCCGCAGUAA